rnacentral:rRNA from 1 species
UACGGAGGGGGCUAGCGUUGUUCGGAAUUACUGGGCGUAAAGCGCGCGUAGGCGGACCUGCAAGUCGGGGGUGAAAGCCCGAGGCUCAACCUCGGAACUGCCUUCGAUACUGCGGGUCUCGAGUCCGGGAGAGGUGAGUGGAAUUCCUAGUGUAGAGGUGAAAUUCGUAGAUAUUAGGAAGAACACCAGUGGCGAAGGCGACACGCUGGGUCAUACCUGACGCUAAAACGCGACAGCAUGGGGAGCGAACGGG